rnacentral:tRNA from 1 species
UGCCUUAUAGCUUAAUAGGAAAAGCAUCUGUUUUCGAAAUAGAGGAGUGAAGGUUCGAUUCCUUUUAAGGUAA